rnacentral:rRNA from 1 species
GACGAACGCUGGCGGCGUGCUUAACACAUGCAAGUCGAACGGAAAGGCCCUGCUUUUGUGGGGUGCUCGAGUGGCGAACGGGUGAGUAACACGUGAGUAACCUGCCCUUGACUUUGGGAUAACUUCAGGAAACUGGGGCUAAUACCGGAUAGGAGCUCCUGCUGCAUGGUGGGGGUUGGAAAGUUUCGGCGGUUGGGGAUGGACUCGCGGCUUAUCAGCUUGUUGGUGGGGUAGUGGCUUACCAAGGCUUUGACGGGUAGCCGGCCUGAGAGGGUGACCGGCCACAUUGGGACUGAGAUACGGCCCAGACUCCUACGGGAGGCAGCAGUGGGGAAUAUUGCACGAUGGGCGGAAGCCUGAUGCAGCAGCGCCGCGUGCGGGAUGACGGCCUUCGGGUUGUAAACCGCUUUCGCCUGUGACGAAGCGUGAGUGACGGUAAUGGGUAAAGAAGCACCGGCUAACUACGUG